GACGAACCGUGCGAACGUUGUUCGGAUUCAUUGGGCUUAAAGGGCGCGUAGGCGGCCGCUCAAGUCGGGGGUGAAAUCUUUCAGCUUAACUGGAAAAUAGCCUCCGAUACUGGGUGGCUGGAGGGAGAUAGGGGUGCGCGGAACUUCCGGUGGAGCGGUGAAAUGCGUAGAUAUCGGAAGGAACGCCGGUGGCGAAAGCGGCGCACUGGAUCUCCACUGACGCUGAGGCGCGAAAGCCAGGGGAGCAAACGGG
rnacentral:rRNA from 1 species